AUGUACAUGCCUACAACAUAGUGUUAAUGUACUGGAUCCCAUUAGAACUCUGCAGUUAAGUGUGCUCUGGCUAGAGUAGUACUGGAAUGGGUGAUUGGACAAGAAUUCCUAUUGUUUUUCAUG
rfam:Picea glauca, whole genome shotgun sequence.